rnacentral:rRNA from 1 species
CCUACGGGUGGCAGCAGUGGGGAAUAUUGCGCAAUGGGCGAAAGCCUGACGCAGCGACGCCGCGUGAGGGAUGAAGGUCUUCGGAUCGUAAACCUCUGUCAGCAGGGAAGAACGGUCACUGUGCUAAUCAGCAGUGACUUGACGGUACCUGCAAAGGAAGCACCGGCUAACUCCGUGCCAGCAGCCGCGGUAAUACGGAGGGGGCGAGCGUUAAUCGGAAUUACUGGGCUUAAAGCGCUCGUAGGCGGUAUGGCAAGUCAAGGGUGAAAUCCCCGCGCUCAACGUGGGAACUGCCUUGGAAACUGGCAAACUGGAGUGUGUGAGAGGAUAGUGGAAGUCCAGGUGUAGGAGUGAAAUCCGUAGAUAUCUGGAGGAACAUCAGUGGCGAAGGCGACUAUCUGGCACAUAACUGACGCUGAGGAGCGAAAGCGUGGGUAGCAAACAGGAUUAGAUACCCUGGUAGUC